rnacentral:rRNA from 1 species
UACGUAGGGACCGAGCGUUGUCCGGAUUCAUUGGGCGUAAAGAGCUCGUAGGCGGCUGCUCAAGUCGAAUGUGAAAACUCGAGGCUCAACCUCGAGCCUGCAUUCGAUACUGGGCGGCUAGAGUCUGGUAGGGGGAUCUGGAAUUCCUGGUGUAGCGGUGGAAUGCGCAGAUAUCAGGAGGAACACCGGUGGCGAAGGCGGGAUCCUGGGCCAGUACUGACGCUGAGGAGCGAAAACGUGGGGAGCAAACAGG